rnacentral:rRNA from 1 species
UUGGUUAAGCUAAUAAGAGCACACGGAGGAUGCCUAGGCGCCAGGAGCCGACGAAGGACGUGGCGAACAACGAAACUGCCUCGGGGAGCUGUAAGCAAGCUUUGAUCCGGGGGUGUCCGAAUGGGGAAACCCAGCUGUGGUAAUUCGCAGUUACUCGUAUCUGAAUACAUAGGAUACGCAGAGGCAGACCAGGGGAACUGAAACAUCUAAGUACCCUGAGGAAGAGAAAACAAUAGUGAUUCCGUCAGUAGCGGCGAGCGAACGCGGAACAGCCUAAACCAAGGGGCUUGCCUCUUGGGGUUGUGGGACGUCUCACAUGGAGUUACAAAGGAAUAUGGUAGGUGAAGAGGUCUGGAAAGGCCCGCGAUAGAGGUAAAAGCCCUGUAGCCUAAACUGUGUUCUCUCCGAGACGGAUCCCGAGUAGUGCGGGGCACGUGAAACCCCGUAUGAAUCCAGCAGGACCAUCUGCUAAGGCUAAAUACUACCUGGCGACCGAUAGUGAAACAGUACCGUGAGGGAAAGGUGAAAAGCACCCCGGAAGGGGAGUGAAAUAGAACCUGAAACCGUGUGCUUACAAAAAGUCAGAGCCCGAUCUAUGGGUGAUGGCGUGCCUUUUGUAGAAUGAACCGGCGAGUUACGUUUAACAUGCAAGGUUAAGGUGAGAAGCCGGAGCCGCAGCGAAAGCGAGUCUGAAUAGGGCGACUGAGUAUGUGGACGUAGACCCGAAACCGUGUGAUCUACCCCUGUCCAGGGUGAAGGUGCGGUAACACGCACUGGAGGCCCGAACCCACGCAUGUUGAAAAAUGCGGGGAUGAGGUGGGGGUAGCGGAGAAAUUCCAAUCGAACUCGGAGAUAGCUGGUUCUCCCCGAAAUAGCUUUAGGGCUAGCCUCGGUGAAUGGAGUGGUGGAGGUAGAGCACUGAUUGGGUGCGGGGCCCGCAAGGGUUACCAAGCUCAGUCAAACUCCGAAUGCCAUUAACUUCUUGCCGGGAGUCAGACAGUGAGUGCUAAGAUCCAUUGUCAAAAGGGAAACAGCCCAGACCAUCAGCUAAGGUCCCCAAGUGUGUGUUAAGUGGGAAAGGAUGUGGAGUUGCACAGACAACCAGGAUGUUGGCUUAGAAGCAGCCACCAUUGAAAGAGUGCGUAAUAGCUCACUGGUCGAGUGACUCUGCGCCGAAAAUGUAACGGGGCUAAACACACCACCGAAGCUAUGGCUAGAUGCUUUGCAUCUGGGGUAGGGGAGCGUUGUAUGUGGGUUGAAGGUGUACCGUAAGGAGCGCUGGACAGCAUACAAGUGAGAAUGCCGGUAUGAGUAACGAAAAGAUCAGUGAGAAUCUGAUCCGCCGAAAGCCCAAGGUUUCCUGAGGAAGGCUCGUCCGCUCAGGGUAAGUCGGGACCUAAGGCGAGGCCGAAAGGCGUAGUCGAAGGACAACAGUUUGAAAUUACUGUACCACCGUAAUCCGCUAUGAGCGAUGGGGUGACGCAGGAGGGUAGUGACGCGGACUGAUGGAUGUCCGUCUAAGCAGUGAGGCUGGUGUGUAGGCAAAUCCGCACACCGUAAGGCUGGGCUGUGAUGGGGAGCGAAAAUUGUAGUAGCGAAGGUCAUGAUCUCACACUGCCAAGAAAAGCCUCUAGCCAGGAGAAGGUGCCCGUACCGCAAACCGACACAGGUAGGCGAGAAGAGAAUUCUAAGGCGCGCGGAAGAACUCUCGUUAAGGAACUCGGCAAAAUGACCUCGUAACUUCGGGAGAAGAGGUGCCUCGGUAGGGUGAAUAGCCCGAGGGGGCCGCAGUGAAAAGGCCCAAGCGACUGUUUAGCAAAAACACAGGUCUGUGCGAAGCCGCAAGGCGAAGUAUACGGGCUGACGCCUGCCCGGUGCUGGAAGGUUAAGGGGAGUGGUUAGGGGUUAAACCCGAAGCUGUGAACCGAAGCCCCAGUAAACGGCGGCCGUAACUAUAACGGUCCUAAGGUAGCGAAAUUCCUUGUCAGGUAAAUUCUGACCCGCACGAAUGGCGUAACGACUUGGGCGCUGUCUCAACGAGAGAUCCGGUGAAAUUUUAAUACCUGUGAAGAUGCAGGUUACCCGCGACAAGACGGAAAGACCCCAUGGAGCUUUACUGCAGCUUGAUAUUGAAUUUGGGUACGAUCUGUACAGGAUAGGUGGGAGCCGUUGAGGCAGGAGCGCAAGCUUCUGCGGAGGCGCCGUUGGGAUACCACCCUGAUCGUAUCUAGGUUCUAACCUAGUACCCUAAGCGGGUACGGGGACCGUGUCAGGCGGGCAGUUUGACUGGGGCGGUCGCCUCCUAAAGAGUAACGGAGGCGUUCAAAGGUUCCCUCAGAAUGGUUGGAAAUCAUUCGCAGAGUGCAAAGGCAUAAGGGAGCUUGACUGCGAGACCUACAAGUCGAGCAGGGACGAAAGUCGGACUUAGUGAUCCGGUGGUACCGCAUGGAAGGGCCAUCGCUCAACGGAUAAAAGCUACCCUGGGGAUAACAGGCUUAUCUCCCCCAAGAGUCCACAUCGACGGGGAGGUUUGGCACCUCGAUGUCGGCUCAUCGCAUCCUGGGGCUGAAGUAGGUCCCAAGGGUUGGGCUGUUCGCCCAUUAAAGCGGUACGCGAGCUGGGUUCAGAACGUCGUGAGACAGUUCGGUCCCUAUCUGUCGUGGGCGCAGGAAAUUUGAGAGGAGCUGUCCUUAGUACGAGAGGACCGGGAUGGACGUACCGCUGGUGCAUCAGUUGUUCCGCCAGGAGCAUGGCUGAGUAGCUACGUACGGACGGGAUAAGCGCUGAAAGCAUCUAAGCGUGAAGCCCCCCUCAAGAUGAGAUUUCCCAAUUAGUAAGACCCCUUGAAGACGACGAGGUAGAUAGGUUGGAGGUGGAAGUGCAGCAAUGCAUGGAGCUGACCAAUACUAAUCGGUCGAGGGCUUAUCCAA